CCUGGUGCUCUGACGUCGUUAUAUUGACGAUAUUCUUGUUAUAUGGAAGGGGUCUGAAGAACAUCUGUUAGACUUUUUUAAGUAUCUUAAUGAUAUCUUUUCACUCGUUUUUUCCCCCAUGUACAGUUCUACUUCUAUAGAUUUUUUUGGAUUUGACUAUUUCAAAACAAGGAGGUCAUAUUCAUACUAAAACUUAUUUUAAACCCACUGAUACCAACAGUUAUAUUGAAUCAACUAG